GCAUCCAUAGUUUAGGGGUAGAAUACGAGCUUCCCAUGCUCGUGGUCCGAGUUCGAGUCUCGGUGGAUGCA